ensembl:lncRNA
GUGACUCCUGGCCCUCCCUUCCCUCCCGUAGCCUCGGCUGCCGGCUGAGCCCCGAGCGCGGGGCAGCCUCACCUCCCGGGAAGCGACUUACCUUGGUGAGCUGGGCGAUCUUCUUGCACAUCUGCAUGUGAAUUUCCUUAUUGUAUCCUUCUGCCGAACUGCCGCGAGGGGCUUUAGAUCCAUUGCAAGUCCCGGGCUGCCGGCUCUUGUUUAUGCUGGAGGCCAUUAGGCUCGAAAUAUUCUAGCCGAUUCCGUGUACGCUCCGGGCUGCGCGUUCCCGUCCUGCUGCUCGCCUUCCCCCAGCGCUCACUCAAAGCCCGAAGCGCUGCGGGAAGUUCAGCCCCAGCCCGGGGCUGGAGCAGCUGCUUCUCCCUUCCGCGCAGAUGUCCCACUCCUUCAGCACAGCACCCGGCCGAGGCAGCGAGCAGCAUGUGCGAGCCUCCCGAGCGGGAGAUCUUUUUCCUCUGCUCUUCCAAUGGUAGCGCUUCCGCCAGGAGGGGAUGCCAGCGGUUGGAUGCUACGCAUUCCCCACGGGACACGCCGAGCAGCGGCACAGACGUCGCUGGGGAUCUAAUACAGAGACCGCCUGCAGAUUACAUCGUGUUGCCUUCUUGGGCUGCCGCAGGGAUCAUCUGAGAGGAUGAUUCGGGCACCUUUCAUCAGCUCUGUUAGUUUGGCAACCCUUUGCAAGUCCAGAUGGACCAAUAAAGUGGCGAAGAAAAUCUUGUUCAAUUUUUGCUGCUCUGCUGAAAGCAGAAUGAAGCGGUGCUUCCACCUCCGCCCCGCAGCUGAGCCCUGAUGGGCCUGCCUCAGCCACACGGGCUGCCAGCUCCCCUCGGCGGCCCUGCGCUCACAUGGGAAAGAGGCAGGAAGAAAACUGACGCUGCUCACUUGUCUUCAUCUGCAGCCAUUCCCUCUCUUCAAAAGGACAAGCAAUCUACACGUAAAAAUAAAUAAGAAACACCGCUGAAAAGGCAGGCAAAAAGCAGAAACAGCAGAAUAUAUGGCUGGACCUGAAUGCAUGCCUGGAUGGAGACUUGAGACAAAGCAAAGAUGCCAUGAUGUGUCAUUCAAGUGUGUGCUAUACAAAGGUAGACCUUUUGUGAACCCUGCAGAACACAUAAAUGAAUGUGAAAAUUUUUCUUGAACUUAGAGCUGUAUAUGGCAAAGAUACAGUUUAGAAUAAAAAUUAGAGCAGUUUAAGCAGAAAACAUACUUCUGCUUGCAUUAUUAU